rnacentral:tRNA from 1 species
GCGGAUGUGGCGGAAUUGGUAGACGCGCUAGACUUAGGAUCUAGUGCCGCAAGGCGUGUGGGUUCGAGUCCCUCCAUCCGCAC